rnacentral:rRNA from 1 species
UACGUAGGGGCUAGCGUUAUCCGGAAUUGCUGGGCGUAAAGGGUGCGUAGGUGGUUUCUUAAGUCAGAGGUGAAAGGCUACGGCUCAACCGUAGUAAGCCUUUGAAACUGGGAAACUUGAGUGCAGGAGAGGAGAGUGGAAUUCCUAGUGUAGCGGUGAAAUGCGUAGAUAUUAGGAGGAACACCAGUUGCGAAGGCGGCUCUCUGGACUGUAACUGACACUGAGGCACGAAAGCGUGGGGAGCAAACAGGAUUAGAUACCCCGGUAGUCCCUGAGCGGG